AUUGAACGCUGGCGGAAUGCUUUACACAUGCAAGUCGAGCGGCAGCACGGGGGCAACCCUGGUGGCGAGCGGCGAACGGGUGAGUAAUACAUCGGAACAUGCCCAGUCGUGGGGGAUAACACUUCGAAAGAAGUGCUAAUACCGCAUACGUCCUGAGGGGGAAAGCGGGGGAUCGCAAGACCUCGCGCGAUUGGAGUGGCCGAUGUCAGAUUAGCUAGUUGGUGGGGUAAAGGCCUACCAAGGCAACGAUCUGUAGCUGGUCUGAGAGGAUGAUCAGCCACACUGGGACUGAGACACGGACCAGACUCCUACGGGAGGCAGCAGUGGGGAAUGUUGGACAAUGGGGGCAACCCUGAUCCAGCAAUUCCGCGUGAGUGAAGAAGGACUUCGGGUUGUAAAGCUCUUUCGGCAGGAACGAAAAGGUGAGCUCUAAAAUAGCUAGAUAAUGACGGUAACUGAAGAAGAAGGACCGGCUAACUACGUG
rnacentral:rRNA from 1 species